AGUCAGUGGUGAAAUCCUGGAGCUCAACUCCAGAACUGCCAUUGAUACUAUCUAUCUUGAAUAUUGUGGAGGUAAGCGGAAUAUGUCAUGUAGCGGUGAAAUGCUUAGAUAUGACAUAGAACACCCAUUGCGAAGGCAGCUUACUACGCAUAUAUUGACGCUGAGGCACGAAAGCGUGGGGAUCAAACAGGAUUAGAUACCCUGGUAGUCCACGCCCUAAACUAUGGAUACUCGACAUAUGCGAUACACUGUAUGUGUCUGAGCGAAAGCAUUAAGUAUCCCACCUGGGAAGUACGUUCGCAGGAAUGAAACUCAAAGGAAUUGGCGGGGGUCCGCACAAGCGGUGGAGUAUGUGGUUUAAUUCGAUGAUACGCGAGGAACCUUACCUGGGCUAGAAUGCUGGGAGACCGCUAGUGAAAGCUAGUUUUGUAGCAAUACACUGCCAGUAAGGUGCUGCAUGGCCGUCGUCAGCUCGUGCCGUGAGGUGUUGGGUUAAGUCCCGCAACGAGCGCAACCCCUAUCUUUAGUUGCCAACAGGUAAUGCUGGGAACUCUAAAGAAACUGCCGCCGUAAGGUGUGAGGAAGGAGGGGAUGAUGUCAGGUCAUCAUGGCCUUUAUGCCCAGGGCUACACACGUACUACAAUGGGGGAGACAAAGGGCUGCAACAUAGCGAUAUGAAGCCAAUCCCAAAAACUCCCUCUCAGUUCAGAUUGCAGGCUGCAACUCGCCUGCAUGAAGCUGGAAUCGCUAGUAAUCGUAUAUCAGCAAUGAUACGGUGAAUACGUUCCCGGACCUUGCACACACCGCCCGUCAAGCCAUGGGAGUCGGGUGUACCUAAAGUCGGUAACCGAAAGGAGCUGCCUAGGGUAAAAUCGAUGACUGGGGCUAAGUCGUAACAAGGUAACC
rnacentral:rRNA from 1 species